rnacentral:rRNA from 1 species
GUGUCAGCAGCCGCGGUAAUACGUAGGGGGCAAGCGUUGUCCGGAUUUACUGGGCGUAAAGCGCGCGUAGGUGGAAGGUCAAGUCCGGCUUGAAAGCCCCCGGCUCAACCGGGGAGAGUGGCUGGAAACUGGUCUUCUUGAGGGCGAGAGAGGAGGGUGGAAUUCCUGGUGUAGCGGUGAAAUGCGUAGAGAUCAGGAGGAACACCCGAGGCGAAGGCGGCCCUCUGGCUCGACCCUGACGCUGAGGCGCGAAAGCGUGGGGAGCGAACGGGAUUAGAAACCCCAGUAGUCC